rnacentral:rRNA from 1 species
GUGAGUCAUCGAGUCUUUUGAACGCACAUUGCGCUUCGUGGUAUUCCGCGGAGCAUGCUCGUUUCAGAAUCAUUAAAAAACUCACAGACCGAUGGGGUUGUUUGUUGGUUCGCCAGCACCUCUGCGCAAUGUGGAUGUGGGCAAUUUGUCUUUGUCAAUUGCCUUAAAGUUAGAGUGCGUGACUGAAUGCGGUGAUGCCCGGACAAGUGCAACAGCUUAUGAUACACUUCGUAAGCCACCGAGAGAACACGCAUCCGUAAACAACACAGGGCCAACAAGCAGUUAUGCUUAACCGGCUCUGACAACUUGGUCUGAAAUCGAGCAAGAAAACCCGCUGAACUUAAGCAUAUCAAUAAGGCGAGG